rnacentral:tRNA from 1 species
GCCCACGUAGCUCAGAGGAUGAGCACCUUGUUGCGGACGAGGAGGACGAAGGUUCGACUCCUUCCGUGGGCUCCA